ACUUUGUUUUUGAGGAGGGGCUGCUGUAAAAUGAUGUGCUGGUUUUAUAUACUGGCCUCAAACAUCAGAAUGGCCGUUAUGGUCUUUAAACCAUCACGGC